rnacentral:rRNA from 1 species
UGCGUAGGUGGUGAGGUAAGUCGGAUGUGAAAGCUCGGAGCUCAACUCCGAAAUGGCGUUGGAAACUACCUUGCUCGAGGGUUGGAGGGGGGACUGGAAUACUUGGUGUAGCAGUGAAAUGCGUAGAUAUCAAGUGGAACACCAGUGGCGAAGGCGAGUCCCUGGACAACUCCUGACACUGAGGCACGAAAGCUAGGGGAGCAAACA